AUUACCUAGGGAGGCAGCAGUGGGGAAUAUUGCACAAUGGGGGAAACCCUGAUGCAGCAACGCCGCGUGAGUGAAGAAGUAUUUCGAUAUGUAAAGCUCUAUCAGCAGGGAAGAAGAUGACGGUACCUGAGUAAGAAGCCCCGGCUAACUACGUGCCAGCGGCCGCGGUAAUACGUAGGGGGCAAGCGUUAUCCGGAUUUACUGGGUGUAAAGGGGGCGCAGACGGCGAUGCAAGCCAGGAGUGAAAGCCCGGGGCCCAACCCCGGGACUGCUCUUGGAACUGCGUGGCUAGAGUGCAGGAGGGG
rnacentral:rRNA from 1 species